rnacentral:lncRNA from 1 species
AGACUGCAGACUUCCCUGGGAAUGAAGGGAAUGCUCUGUGUCCUCAUGGCCAGUCCCCAGUCAGUUCGGGUGCUCUGCUCUCAGUGCUCCUUGGACCCUGUCUGUGCCAGGUGAGACACGACCCUUCAUCAGGGCUGUGGGGUCAGUGGGAUGUGGACAGUGCAGAAGCUGGAGCUGUGUGCUUCAUCAUACAGGGCAUGGCUCAGGUGUGAUUCCCCCUCAGGAGUGUUUCCCCUACUCCACAGGAGACCCUGGACAGAGAACUGCCUCAAGAGUUCCCCUGUACCUUCAGUAUCACCUCUGCUGUGAUAUGGGGCUCUGCAGUGGCCAUGUAAACAAAAUCAAGGGCUGGGGAUAUCAGUAGGCCCUGGACUGUGCCACUACUGCUCCAAGCUUUCCCUCACACUUUUACUAAUGUAGGUCUGACAAUUGAGAAGGGCUUGGUUGUUAAUGCUCACCAUGUACUCAAGGAAGCAAGACACGAGCUCAGGGUCUGCUCAGCAUCUGGGAUUGUCCCAGCAAAGAGCUCCAGAAACUCACAGCAUGUUCAUGUCUCCCACAGGCAGCAGCCCCUCACACAAGGCCCAGCUCCCUUCCAGAGGGUCAGCCAUGCCCCUGGAGGUCUGGAUCCUGCGCUCUGCCCUCAGCCUGCUCCUGCUGCUGUCUGCCCCAAUCAUCACCCUCCUCCUGGAGAGAUGCAGCCACGGUGCCCACAAGGCCAGGCAGCCUGGAGAUGUCCCUGUCCCCAUGGAGCUCUGAUGUCCCCCUGAGCUCCCUGCUGUCCCCAGUUGGCACCCUCAUGCUCAGAGCAUGACCCCCAAAGUGGCCAGGCUCCCAGUAACUUUGGG